rnacentral:rRNA from 1 species
GACGAACGCUGGCGGCGUGCUUAACACAUGCAAGUCGAACGGAAGGGCCCUGCUUUUGUGGGGUGCUCGAGUGGCGAACGGGUGAGUAACACGUGAGUAACCUGCCCUUGACUUUGGGAUAACUUCAGGAAACUGGGGCUAAUACCGGAUAGGAGCUCCUGCUGCAUGGUGGGGGUUGGAAAGUUUCGGCGGUUGGGGAUGGACUCGCGGCUUAUCAGCUUGUUGGUGGGGUAGUGGCUUACCAAGGCUUUGACGGGUAGCCGGCCUGAGAGGGUGACCGGCCACAUUGGGACUGAGAUACGGCCCAGACUCCUACGGGAGGCAGCAGUGGGGAAUAUUGCACAAUGGGCGGAAGCCUGAUGCAGCAACGCCGCGUGCGGGAUGACGGCCUUCGGGUUGUAUACCGCUUUCGCCUGUGACGAAGCGUGAGUGACGGUAAUGGGUAAAGAAGCACCGGCUAACUACGUG